UAGAGUUUGAUCAUGGCUCAGGACGAACGCUGGCGGCGUGCCUAAUACAUGCAAGUCGAACGAACUCUGGUAUUGAUUGGUGCUUGCAUCAUGAUUUACAUUUGAGUGAGUGGCGAACUGGUGAGUAACACGUGGGAAACCUGCCCAUAAGCGGGGGAUAACACCUGGAGACAGAUGCUAAUACCGCAUAACAACUUGGACCGCAUGGUCCGAGCUUGAAAGAUGGCUUCGGCUAUCACUUUUGGAUGGUCCCGCGGCGUAUUAGCUAGAUGGUGGGGUAACGGCUCACCAUGGCAAUGAUACGUAGCCGACCUGAGAGGGUAAUCGGCCACAUUGGGACUGAGACACGGCCCAAACUCCUACGGGAGGCAGCAGUAGGGAAUCUUCCACAAUGGACGAAAGUCUGAUGGAGCAACGCCGCGUGAGUGAAGAAGGGUUUCGGCUCGUAAAACUCUGUUGUUAAAGAAGAACAUAUCUGAGAGUAACUGUUCAGGUAUUGACGGUAUUUAACCAGAAAGCCACGGCUAACUACGUGCCAGCAGCCGCGGUAAUACGUAGGUGGCAAGCGUUGUCCGGAUUUAUUGGGCGUAAAGCGAGCGCAGGCGGUUUUUUAAGUCUGAUGUGAAAGCCUUCGGCUCAACCGAAGAAGUGCAUCGGAAACUGGGAAACUUGAGUGCAGAAGAGGACAGUGGAACUCCAUGUGUAGCGGUGAAAUGCGUAGAUAUAUGGAAGAACACCAGUGGCGAAGGCGGCUGUCUGGUCUGUAACUGACGCUGAGGCUCGAAAGUAUGGGUAGCAAACAGGAUUAGAUACCCUGGUAGUCCAUACCGUAAACGAUGAAUGCUAAGUGUUGGAGGGUUUCCGCCCUUCAGUGCUGCAGCUAACGCAUUAAGCAUUCCGC
rnacentral:rRNA from 1 species